GGUGGAGAGGUGGUGAAUUUUCUAUGCGGUGGUGUAUUCUAUAGGUUUUUCCUUGUGAGCUUUGGAAAUCCAUUGAUUCUUGCCUUAAUUUCCUUUUUGUACGAUUUAUCAAAGAAUGGAGCUGGGACAACAGGAGGACAAACAUUUCUCUCCAUGCACCGGUGCAAUGAAAUCAGGCGAGUGGCAAUCCCAGGACAGGAGCCAUGGAACUCAGAGCCACCGCUCAGCCACUCAGUCGCGUGGUCCCAGCAGCGGCAGACACGGGGAGGCGGGGGACGGCCUGGCCUCCCGGGGCGGGAGUGAGGGGCCAGGUGCCGCAGGAAAGCUACCCUGGGGGCCGGAACCAGGCUGCGCUGGGGGGAAGGCGGCGGUAAGAGCCAGAGCAGAAGAGGAGCACAUGCUGACUGCCUUCCUCGUGCGCACGGAGCUCCUGGUGACCCAGCUGCACCUGGCAAGGGGAAGAGCGCUCCCGAGAUCCUAAGAUAUCUUCCUCCGAUGAAGAACGUCUGCUACUAGAUGUCUGAGUGCUUGCACAUCAGCUUGACUUACCAGUGGAUAUUUUCUUAACAAUUGCAUUAAAAAAAAAAAUCAAAUGGACCAGUGAAGUGUUUUCAAAGGAGUAGUCCUUGAAAAGGGACUCUUUUGGGAAUAGCAUGGCAGGUUAGGAGGAGAUCUCCUGCUCCCUAGCAUUUGGUCCAGUUGACAUAGACUGUUGAGUGCAGGGCUCAAAGCCAAGAUCAGCUAGUAAUAAAAAGAGUUUGUAUUUGUUAUAUGCUUCCCA
rnacentral:lncRNA from 1 species